AUGCUGCUAAACUACCUUGGCUUGAUUAACUAUUACGAAAUUGUUUUGUUAUUUGUUGCAAGAAGUCUUAAGAUCAUACCUCAAGUAUGUAUUUUUUUGUUUGUUUGUUUCUUUGUUUUUUACCUCAGAGAUCAGCGUGAUUUCCCCACCAAGCAGGAAUGUUUAGAUGAUGCAUGCUCUGACAAGAAGAAGCAUCCCACAGAGCAGGUCACCCCAAAGACUGUCUCACUUCACCAUAACAUCACACCAGGCACUUUGACACUGAAGGAUCAAAGAACACAACACCAUUGGCCAUAGCUGCGUCCCCCCAUUCAGCUUGCACUGGACCCCUCAGAACGGGUGGCCUUUGUGUUGGACCAUAAAUGGACAGAUCUGAUGAGAACUGCCCAUGAUCAUCACUUGGUAAUGCACCAUGGGAGCAAGGAUCUUCUUAAACAGGUGGUUUUUUUCCUGUGUUCUCCACAACUUUAAAUUGUAUUAUUUUUACUAUUAUUGUAGUUGUUGUUGUUGUUUAAUCUACAAUUUUAAAUUAUUUAAUUUAUUUCCAUUUGUUAAUUAAAAUACCAGAAGUAUUGGCAUUGUUUGCACUGUACUUUCGUAUGUUUUUUAAAUUAAUUGUAUUGACUUGCAUUGUUAUUUUAUCUUGCUCAGUUUUGUAAACACUAAAUGUUAGUAACUGCUAUUAUUAAACUCUGUAAAUAAUUAUUUAAUUUAAAAUACUCUACCAGUCAAAUGUUUUUCAGCAGUAAGAUUUUUAAUGUUUUUUAAAGAAGUCUCU
ensembl:lncRNA